AGCGAACGCUGGCGGCAGGCCUAACACAUGCAAGUCGAACGAACUCUUCGGAGUUAGUGGCGGACGGGUGAGUAACACGUGGGAACGUGCCUUUUGGCUCGGAAUAACUCAGGGAAACUUGUGCUAAUACCGAAUGUGCCCUUCGGGGGAAAGAUUUAUCGCCAUUAGAGCGGCCCGCGUCUAAUUAGCUAGUUGGUGAGGUAACGGCGCACCAAGGCGACGAUCAGUAGCUGGUCUGAGAGGAUGACCAGCCACACUGGGACUGAGACACGGCCCAGACUCCUACAGGAGGCAGCAGUGGGGAAUCUUGCGCAAUGGGCGAAAGCCUGACGCAGCCAUGCCGCGUGAAUGAUGAAGGUCUUAGGAUUGUAAAAUUCUUUCACCGGGGACGAUAAUGACGGUACCCGGAGAAGAAGCCCCGGCUAACUUCGUG
rnacentral:rRNA from 1 species